UUAUCUGGUCUUGAAUGUCUUAACAAAAAUGGGGUUCAGAAAAAUACUUCGAAAAUGCGGAGAAUGAACAGAAUAAUCAAGAUAAUAUAGAGAGAAUUUUCAUUAGAAGAAGGUAUAAAUGAUCAAAACGAAUUUUAGGAAAAAGAUCUCUGAAUUCUUCUGUUUGAACAAGAAAAGAAGUGAAAGGAGAAUUUCAUUUCUCAACUCGAUGUGAUUAACUUAAAAUGCACUUCUCUCAUAUUUUAAUGAUAACAACCUAAAGUAA
rnacentral:misc_RNA from 1 species